rnacentral:rRNA from 1 species
UACGUAGGGUCCGAGCGUUGUCCGGAAUUAUUGGGCGUAAAGGGCUCGUAGGCGGUUUGUCGCGUCGGGAGUGAAAACACGGGGCUUAACCCCGUGCCUGCUUCCGAUACGGGCAGACUAGGGGUAUGCAGGGGAGAACGGAAUUCCUGGUGUAGCGGUGAAAUGCGCAGAUAUCAGGAGGAACACCGGUGGCGAAGGCGGUUCUCUGGGCAUUACCUGACGCUGAGGAGCGAAAGCGUGGGGAGCGAACAGG